AGUAGACAAAAAAGACACGUUAUUUCACAAUUGCUCUAGAAAUAGCAUUAUAUAAACUUUCAAUUGAGUAUACGAAUUUGUAUCCUUCUGGUUCUCUCCACAUCGCUCUCUCCCUAAACCUAAACCUAAAAAUGGCUCUCUCCCUCUGGUUCUCGCUCUGUCCAAUCUCUCUUUGUUCUGUUCCUAGACGAUAUUUGUAUCAUUCUUGACGAAGAUUCUCCCACUGCUCGGAGACGUUAACGGAAACCACAUCGGAGUCGAUCUGGAGAGAGCGAUUUGGAGAGAACCAAAGCCACUCAUAGCCGCCUCCAAAGCCACCACUGCUGCCUUUUCUCUGUUUCCAGGUUCCUCAAAAUAAUGGCCAUGGUGUGGGCUGGAAGCCAAGUUACUAAGAUUUUAGGGCUGGAGGGCAAGGAUAGUACACUCUGAUAAAAAUCAUGGAGACCCUAAAGCAGCUGAAAAGUUUCAGCUGAAACCAUCUUUUUGGCA